rnacentral:rRNA from 1 species
UACGUAGGGUGCGAGCGUUAAUCGGAAUUACUGGGCGUAAAGCGUGCGCAGGCGGUUCGUUGUGUCUGAUGUGAAAUCCCCGGGCUUAACCUGGGAACUGCGUUUGAAACUACAAGGCUAGAGUGUGGCAGAGGGGGGUGGAAUUCCACGUGUAGCAGUGAAAUGCGUAGAGAUGUGGAGGAACACCGAUGGCGAAGGCAGCCCCCUGGGUUAACACUGACGCUCAGGCACGAAAGCGUGGGGAGCAAACAGG